AACGCUGGCGGCGUGCCUAAUACAUGCAAGUCGAGCGAACAGAUAAGGAGCUUGCUCCUUUGACGUUAGCGGCGGACGGGUAAGUAACACGUGGGUAACCUACCUAUAAGACUGGAAUAACUCCGGGAAACCGGGGCUAAUGCCGGAUAGCAUUUAGAACCGCAUGGUUCUAAAGUGAAAGAUGGUUUUGCUAUCACUUAUAGAUGGACCCGCGCCGUAUUAGCUAGUUGGUAAGGUAACGGCUUACCAAGGCAACGAUACGUAGCCGACCUGAGAGGGUGAUCGGCCACACUGGAACUGAGACACGGUCCAGACUCCUACGGGAGGCAGCAGUAGGGAAUCUUCCGCAAUGGGCGAAAGCCUGACGGAGCAACGCCGCGUGAGUGAUGAAGGUCUUCGGAUCGUAAAGCUCUGUUAUUAGGGAAGAACAAAUGUGUAAGUAACUGUGCACGUCUUGACGGACCUAAUCAGAAGCCACGGCUAACUA
rnacentral:rRNA from 1 species